ACCACACCUCCACGGGGGAGGUUGUUCUCUCUUUCAGGGGGGAACACAAGGCUAUGAAGGAGUAUGUGGAAGAAUCACUGGCAGCCGGGAUUAUUAGCCCAUCUUCAUCCCCUGCGGGAGGAGGAUUUUUCUUUGUGGACAAAAAGUACAAGACCGUGCGACCCUGUAUCGAUUACCGGGGUCUCAACGAGAUAACUGUGAAAAACAGGGUCGCGAGCGUCCUGGAGCCUAUCCCAGCAAUCUUCGAGCGAGAAGCGGGGUACACACUGAACUGAUCGCCAGCCAAUCGCAGGAUAACCAACAGUAUUUUUCUGAAAUUCACUUUGUGCAUAAAGCAGGAAACUGUAUUUACUUGUCUACAAACAUUUAUAGUGAGGCAAUUUCAAACACAAAUUAAGAUCAGUUUAAACUUGGCAUUUCUUGUGAGUAUCAGAAAAAUAAGGCAUUAAUUUAAAAAAAGAGGAACACAAGUUUGUCAUCUUGUUAUAAAUGUACAAUUUUAUCCAACUGUGGUUUCUCAGUCUGAACUCUCGGGGCACUAUGUAAAACUAUUACAUCAAAUAGAGGCAAAGAAAAGGACAUGAAGAAUGUAGUUUCAUCGUCGAAUAGAUGCUAGCUGUGUGCUGAUCGAUAAAGGUCAAUAAAAUGAAUAAAAACAGAAA